rnacentral:rRNA from 1 species
UACGUAGGGUCCGAGCGUUGUCCGGAGUUACUGGGCGUAAAGCGCGCGCAGGCGGCGGUGUAAGCAUGGCGUGAAAGCCCCAGGCUCAACCUGGGAGGGUCGUUGUGGACUGCACCGCUUGAGGGCGGUAGGGGCUGGUGGAAUGCCUGGUGUAGUGGUGAAAUGCGUAGAGAUCAGGCGGAACACCCGUGGCGAAGGCGGCCAGCUGGGCCGUCCCUGACGCUGAGGCGCGAAGGCGUGGGGAGCGAACGGG